rnacentral:misc_RNA from 1 species
AACAGAACCCCCGAGCGUUACCCGGAUUUAUUGGGCGUAAAGCGUCUGUAGCCGGUUUGGUAAGUCGUAGGUUAAAUCCUGAGGGCUCAACCUUCAGAGUGCCUGCGAAACUGCCAGACUUGAGAGCGUUAGGGGCUGAUAGAACUCUUGGUGGAGGGGUGAAAUCCGUUGAUAUCAAGGGGAAUACCAAAAGCGAAGGCAUUCAGCUGGAGCGACUCUGACGGUGAGAGACGAAAGCGUGGGGAGCGAAAAGG